GGGUUAAGUCCCGCAACGAACGCAACCCCUCGCUGCCAGUUGCCAACGGGUGAAGCCGGGCACUCUGGCGGGACUGCCAUCGACAAGAUGGAGGAAGGUGGGGAGUGACGUCAAGUCAUCAUGGCCCUUAUGUCCAGGGCGACACACGUGCUACAAUGGCCGGCACAGCGGGAAGCGAGGCAGUGAUGCCAAGCGGAUCCCUUAAAGCCGGUCUCAGUUCGGAUUGAAGUCUGCAACUCGACUUCAUGAAGCUGGAAUCGCUAGUAAUCGCGGAUCAGCAUGCCGGGGUGAAUACGUUCCCGGGCCUU
rnacentral:rRNA from 1 species